GUUUGUAGAGCGUUUGAUUAGAGAGAGAGAGAGGUAGAGUAAGGUAGAGUAAGGUCCUGCUAUUUCGCACAGACCACUUGCAGUGGUAGCAAGCCAUCCAUGGCGAUUGUGAUGGGCGGACUGGGAGAGAGAAAGCAAAAGGGAAAGAGGGAGAGAGAGAGAGAGAGAGAGAGAGGGGGGGGGGGGGGAGGGGUCACUGGCUAACCAGAUAGCAUGCUACCCAGGGCAACAGAGAGACAAAAGAGCAAGAGAGAAGCAUUCAGGGAGAGAGAAUCAGGAGGA